rnacentral:rRNA from 1 species
AUUGAACGCUGGCGGCAGGCCUAACACAUGCAAGUCGAACGGUAACAGGAAGCAGCUUGCUGCUUCGCUGACGAGUGGCGGACGGGUGAGUAAUGUCUGGGAAGCUGCCUGAUGGAGGGGGAUAACUACUGGAAACGGUAGCUAAUACCGCAUAAUGUCGCAAGACCAAAGUGGGGGACCUUCGGGCCUCUUGCCAUCGGAUGUGCCCAGAUGGGAUUAGCUUGUUGGUGGGGUAACGGCUCACCAAGGCGACGAUCCCUAGCUGGUCUGAGAGGAUGACCAGCCACACUGGAACUGAGACACGGUCCAGACUCCUACGGGAGGCAGCAGUGGGGAAUAUUGCACAAUGGGCGCAAGCCUGAUGCAGCCAUGCCGCGUGUAUGAAGAAGGCCUUCGGGUUGUAAAGUACUUUCAGCGGGGAGGAAGGGAGUAAAGUUAAUACCUUUGCUCAUUGACGUUACCCGCAGAAGAAGCACCGGCUAACUCCGUG